CACGUUUAAACCUUUUUGGUUUGAAUCAGUUCCCUGUCAUACUUCCAAGAAAAGCUCGAACUACUCAAAAAUAUCCAGUACCUGUACCGUAAACUGACACGGGUGGGUUGGUAGAGUAUACCAAGGGGCGCGAGAUAACUCUCUCUAAGGAACUCGGCAAAAUGACCCCGUAACUUCGGGAGAAGGGGUGCCAAGUAACUCGGAUUGCUUGGUCGCAGUGACCAGGCCCUGGCGACUGUUUAUCAAAAACACAGGUCUCCGCAAAGUCGUAAGACAACAUAUGGGGGCUGACGCCUGCCCAGUGCCGGAAGGUUAAAGAAGUUGGUUAUUCACUUGUGGAGAAGCUGACGACUGAAGCCCCGGUGAACGGCGGCCGUAACAAUAACGGUCCUAAGGUAGCGAAAUUCCUUGUCGGGUAAGUUCCGACCAGCACGAAAGGCGUAACGAUCAGGGCACUGUCUCGGAGAGAGACUCGGUGAAAUAGACAUGUCUGUGAAGAUGCGGACUACCUACACCUGGACAGAAAGACCCUAUGAAGCUUGACUGUAGCUUGGAAUUGGGUUCGGGCUCUUUUUGCGCAGCCUAGGUGGGAGGCUAUGAAGGUUUUCUUUUGGGAAAGCUGGAGCCAUCAGUGAGAGACCACUCUGGAAGAGCUAGAAUUCUAAGAGCGUUCCUUGAAGCAGGACGCUUGACAGUUUCAGGUGGGCAGUUUGACUGGGGCGGUCACCUCCUAAAAGGUAACGGAGGUGUGCAAAGGUUCCCUCAGGCUGGACGGAAAUCAGCCGUAGAGUGUAAAGGCAGAAGGGAGCUUGACUGCAAGACCUACAAGUCGAGCAGGGGCGAAAGCCGGCCUUAGUGAUCCGACGGUUCCGUGUGGAAGGGCCGUCGCUCAACGGAUAAAAGUUACUCUAAGGAUAACAGGCUGAUCUUCCCCAAGAGUUCACAUCGACGGGAAGGUUUGGCACCUCGAUGUCGGCUCAUCGCAACCUGGGGCGGUAGUACGUCCCAAGGGUUGGGCUGUUCGCCCAUGAAAGCGGUACGUGAGCUGGGUUCAGAACGUCGUGAGACAGUUCGGUCCAUAUCCGGUGUAGGCGCAAGAGCAUUGAGAGGAGUCUUCCAUAGUACGAGAGGACCUGGAAGAACACACCUCUGGUAUACCAGUUAUCGUUCCAACGGUAGACGCUGGGUAGCCAUGUGUGGAGUGGAUAACCGCUGAAAGCAUCUAAGUGGGAAGCCCACCUCAAGAUGAGUGCUCUCCAUUAGGCCACAGGAAGACAACCUGUUUGAUAGGCAGAAGGUGUAAGCAUGGUAACAUGUUCAGCUGAUCUGUACUAACAGGCCGAUUGA
rnacentral:rRNA from 1 species